CAACCUAAUCAACCUAAUUAAAUCCUAAUUAAGCAAAUACCCUAAUUGAAGGUUGUUUCGUGCAAUCGAUGAAGAACCUGGAGGUUGGAGCUUGACAGUUCAGUUUGAAGAUGAAGGAGGAGAUUGAAGAUUAUUUAGGUGUGAGGUUGAAGAUGGAUAUUGAAAUUGGUUGUGAAUGGAGAAAAUGGAAGAAAGGUGUUGAAGAAGAUUGAAGAAAGUGAGGAAGAAUGAAGAUGAUGAAAUCCAAAAUGAUGGGGCAAGGUUGCUGGGAUUGAAUGGCUUGGAUUCGCCGAGUCGGACUUCGCUUCAUUUAAGCUGUUAUGCAGGGCUGUCCUCAGUGGUUUGGAAUUCUUGGUCCAGUUCACGGAAUUUUUGAGGUGGUUGAGGUUAGAUCGGGUAUGACAGUUGGGAUGUUAGUUUCGUAAUGAUAGUUAGAAUUCUGUUGGAGGUUUUGGGUGAAGUCAGGUUGGUCAUGAACUCAUUCCCUGGUUCUGUUAUCAGGUCGCAGGUUAUUAGUAGUUGGAGGUUUAGUUUUGUAGUGGAGUUUUGAAGUGUUGAUGAGAGGGUUUCUUUGAAGGGUUCAAGAACUUGGUUAGGGUGGUUAUGACAGUUGAAAAAUUUAGUUUUGAAUUAUCAUUUUCUUUCAUUUUGCUUAGCAAUUUAUGUUGGUCAUUUUUUAUGAUGCAUUCCGUUUGCUGCAGGUUUCAAACCGCUUUCGCUUGGCCACAUUUAAUGUUGGUUUGAUGCGGUAUUGGCAACAUGAAGGGAUUGAAUCCAAGGUCUGCUAAAUGACCUUCAUAUGCCCUUCCUUUGAAGAAACAUGAGUCGCCUGCAAAUCCACUAAAGGGCUUUAGCGGUUUCAACAGGACAUGGUCUUCUAGCACGGCGUGAAGAAGUGUGCAUCUGGAUUGUGUUCGAGCCGGCAUGGUACUGUAGGUGAGAUCCAAGCUGCCGGUUUUCGUAUACGUCCUACUGUUGUUUGUGGCCGGCUGCUGCGGUUUUGGUUGAAGCGGGGUUAAUAGUUUUACCUCCGGACUGCAAAUGUUUUAGUUAUGAACCUUGGUUAGUUGGUGUUAAUAGCCAAUUUUCUAUUCUGUCCAUGGUUUAUUAAUGGUACGGUGGUUUAGGCUUUAUAUCUUAAAGUUUGGCAUGCAUGCCAUUGUAACUUGUAUUUGGAUUAAAUAUUAUGGAGUGUGUGAAUCCUCAAGUAGUUUUCUUAGCUUAGACAUAUUAUGAUUAGCUAGACUGACACAUGUCAGUUGUGUUGUGAUUUACCUGCUGUAGCAGGUCAACUGGUUGUUACUAUAAAUACAACCAAUGACCACCUUUUGUAACUCACACUUCAGUUAAUCAAAAUCAAUUACAAUUGAGAA